GUGCCUGAUUGACCAACCAGACAGAAUUCCAGCUCAGCUGAGACAUUUCUUAUAUAAGUGAGUUCAAUGGGAAAUUCUCACUGCCUCUAACUCUUCCCUUCUGUCCCUACUCCCCUCACCCUCCCCUCCCACUCUGUGUCUCCCUUUGUCUUUGUCUCACUCAUUUCUACUUUUGUGUGUAGUUUUUGUGUUAUUGUGUCUCAUACUGCUGUCUGUUCCCUUCUAUUCAGCCUUGUACUCAUCUGAUCUUUCUCUGCAUUUCUUUCUUCUUUCCCUGUGUUGCUUGUUACUUUAUAAAUCAUGUGGAUACAUUUUGCCCCCCUAAAAAUUCCAUUUUGUAGGAAGCUACAAACUGUUGCAGUCUUGCAGUGGGCUGUCUCAUUUCUUGCAAUGGCUCAGUGCUGCAUUGCCCUCUAUCCUCCUGCUCUUCUCUCACUAUCGGUUCCUGGCUCUCCUCUAUGGAGUAUCGCUAUAUAUCUAUUGGCACACCCUAUCCAAUGGAGUUCGCAGCUGAACUGUGUGGAGAUACUUUGCUGAAUACUUUCCCAUCAAGAGCUCAUUUGGUUCCAGUACUGUCCUUUGGGGAGAAUGACUUGUACAAUCAGAUUUCUGCUCAGAACUACCCAGGAGAAGCUGCAAAAGAUUUUGGGAAUUUCCCUGCCCCUCUUUCAUAGUCGUGGUAUCUUCCAGUACAGUUUGGGUCUCCUCCCUCAUCUCAGAAAAAAAUCUAUACAGUGGGUGAGAAGUUUAAUUCUUUACUUGCUUGUGUCUCAAACCAACUGUCUCAUCUUUGUUAUCUCUGCCACCCCCAUUCUAUCCUCUCACAUGUCAAUAUUCUCCAUCUAUUGUGGGAUCUCCAAUCCCUGUGGCUAAAACCCCAUGUCCCACCCAGGAGCAAAUCUCAUCUCUUCAUGCCCUUUACACUCCAAAGUUUUGGGAUCUCUUUGAAAUGCACAAAGGUAACUAUAGAAUUCCCAGAGACCGAAACCUGGUGUUGUGCUGAGACUCCAUGGAAGUGGAGGAGAGUUAUUAAGACUGACUGGUGGACUCUAUCUCCUCUAGUCUUUUAAAUUUUCCUUGGCU